rnacentral:rRNA from 1 species
GAUGAACGCUGGCGGCGUGCCUAAUACAUGCAAGUCGAGCGAACAGACGAAGAGCUUGCUCCUCUGACGUUAGCGGCGGACGGGUGAGUAACACGUGGAUAACCUACCUAUAAGACUGGGAUAACUUCGGGAAACCGGAGCUAAUACCGGAUAAUAUAUUGAACCGCAUGGUUCAAUAGUGAAAGACGGUUUUGCUGUCACUUAUAGAUGGAUCCGCGCCGCAUUAGCUAGUUGGUAAGGUAACGGCUUACCAAGGCAACGAUGCGUAGCCGACCUGAGAGGGUGAUCGGCCACACUGGAACUGAGACACGGUCCAGACUCCUACGGGAGGCAGCAGUAGGGAAUCUUCCGCAAUGGGCGAAAGCCUGACGGAGCAACGCCGCGUGAGUGAUGAAGGUCUUCGGAUCGUAAAACUCUGUUAUUAGGGAAGAACAAAUGUGUAAGUAACUAUGCACGUCUUGACGGUACCUAAUCAGAAAGCCACGGCUAACUACGU